GUAGGUGCCCGGCAGGGGGAAGCUUCUCCUCAGAUUCACCUCGCACUUGGCGGACGGCGGCACCUUGUCGCACAUGAUGCUGUGCACCCACGUGCACGUGGCGUCCGACACGAUGGUACACGCCGACGUGGGGAUGCUGACCGCCCAGCACCUGAGGCCUCCAGCUCCAUGGCGUCGUCGCAGCGGUCAUCCCAUACCAGGUUCCCCGAGGCGUCCUCCUUCUGGCACGGGGCGUACUUGAGCUUGGCCGUGAAGGAGAUGAUGGAGCCGCUCAAAGCGGGACUGUCGCUGGAGGUGAAAGGUCAUCGAGUGAGAGGUCUUCAGCGGGGAAUCGGAUCAUGAGACGUCACAGCCUCUCUUCUUUGUGCUCCGCCUUCUUUCAGCGCAUGCAGGGAUGGGAACAAACAGUCCAAAUAAUUAGUUCCUGGGGGGUGCAUUAGUGCCUGCGCCUUGUCAUGGUAAAGCGUUGUGGAGUGUGUUUGUACCUAAUGAAAGGAAGAUGUUCUGCAGGCUGCAAGCACCUUCACCAGACGCUCAUACGCAAAUAAUAAGGAACUGUGCACUGGCAUUCCCAUGGUAUUGAAGGUUAUUAAGGAAAUGCACAGUAAAUACAAAAUCCAAUGUAUUUCACACGGGAAUAGUCGAACAUUGGUUGAAAAUCUAUGCAAUCAUGUCCUGUUUAUUCAAGCAAGGCAGUCAACAUUAAGCAGCAAGUGGUCAUGCACAUUUUGAAGCUUUUUUUAAAGGAGUCACGCCAGGGCAGUCUUUAGGACCUGGCGUUGAACUGAGGAAAGG